rnacentral:rRNA from 1 species
AUUGAACGCUGGCGGAAUGCUUUACACAUGCAAGUCGAACGGCAGCACGGACUUCGGUCUGGUGGCGAGUGGCGAACGGGUGAGUAAUGUAUCGGAACGUGCCCAGUCGUGGGGGAUAACGUAGUGAAAAUUACGCUAAUACCGCAUACGAUCUAUGGAUGAAAGCGGGGGAUCGCAAGACCUCGCGCGAUUGGAGCGGCCGAUAUCAGAUUAGGUAGUUGGUGGGGUAAAAGCCCACCAAGCCACCGAUCUGUAGCUGGUCUGAGAGGACGACCAGCCACACUGGAACUGAGACACGGUCCAGACUCCUACGGGAGGCAGCAGUGGGGAAUUUUGGACAAUGGGCGAAAGCCUGAUCCAGCCAUUCCGCGUGCAGGAUGAAGGCCCUCGGGUUGUAAACUGCUUUUGUACAGAACGAAAAGGUUUCUACUAAUACUAGGAGCUCAUGACGGUACUGUAAGAAUAAGCACCGGCUAACUACGUGCCAGCAGCCGCGGUAA